GACGAACGCUGGCGGCGUGCUUAACACAUGCAAGUCGAACGGAAAGGCCCUGCGUUUGUGUGGUGCUCGAGUGGCGAACGGGUGAGGAACACGUGAGUAACCUGCCCUUGACUUUGGGAUAACUUCAGGAAACUGAUGCUAGUACCGGAUAGGAUCUCCUGCUGCUUUGUGGGGGAUGGAAAGUUUCGGCGGUUGGGGAUGGACUCGCGGCUUAUCAGCUUGUUGGUGUGGUAGUGGCUUACCAAGGCUUUGACGGGUAGCCGGCCGGAGAGGGUGACCGGCAACAUGGGGACGGAGAUACGGCCAAGACUCCUACGGGAGGCAGCAGUGGGGAAUAUUGCACAAGGGGCGGAAGCCUGAUGCAGCACCGCCGCGUGCGGGAUGACGGCCUUCGGGUUGUAAACCGCUUUCGCAUGUGACGAAGCGUGAGGGACGGUAAUGGGUAAAGAAGCACCGGCUAACUACGU
rnacentral:rRNA from 1 species